GAGGGUAUAGCUCAGUGGUAGAGUACCAUGCUUAGCGCACACAAGGUCCUGGGUUCAAUCCCCAGUGCCUCCG
rnacentral:tRNA from 1 species